rnacentral:rRNA from 1 species
GGCCGAAGACUUUGCCGGAUUAGCUGAGAGGUGGUGCAUGGCCGUCGUCAGUUCGUACUGUGAAGCAUCCUGUUAAGUCAGGCAACGAGCGAGACCCACGCCCACAGUUGCCAGCGUACUCUCCGGAGUGACGGGUACACUGUGGGGACCGCCGCUGCUAAAGCGGAGGAAGGAAUGGGCAACGGUAGGUCAGUAUGCCCCGAACUAUCCCGGGCUACACGCGAGCUACAAUGGUUGGUACAAUGGGUAUCUACCCGAAAGGGGAUGGAAAUCUCCUAAAGCCAAUCUUAGUCCGGAUUGAGGGCUGCAACUCGCCCUCAUGAAGCUGGAAUCCGUAGUAAUCGCGUUUCAACAGAACGCGGUGAAUACGUCCCUGCUCCUU